rnacentral:rRNA from 1 species
UACAGAGGGUGCAAGCGUUGUUCGGAAUUAUUGGGCGUAAAGCGCGUGUAGGCGGCUUUGCAAGUCGGGUGUGAAAGCCCUCAGCUCAACUGAGGAAGUGCGCCCGAAACUGCAGAGCUUGAGUGCCGGAGAGGGUGGCGGAAUUCCCCCAAGUAGAGGUGAAAAUUCGUAGAUAUGGGGAGGAACACCGGGUGGCGAAGGCGGCAUCCUGGACCGACACUGACGCUGAGGAGCGAAAGCCAGGGGAGCAAACGGG